CGCCUCCUCUCAGGUCCAACAGGCUGACUGUGAGUUUGCUCUGUGUAAAUGUUACCUCGUCCUGGUCAUGGACAUAAUGUGAUUAUUAUAAACAUUAUUAUCUACAAUCUGGGGCUGUCUGCUAGGGAAGGUGCUCUUAGAGGUCUAAUUAAAGUUAGAUGGUGCCUGAGUAGGUUAAUGUCAGAUGGUUAAAUGUGCAGACACGUUAUCCUGAUGAUAUGACAAUCUAACGAAACUGUGUCAGGUGUUUGUGGAACUUGGUACAAAUGAGACCAUCAUUAAAAGCAGGAAAGCAGUUCUGUAGGAUCAUUUCAGAAAAUUACGGUCACAACACCUCUCUCUCUCUCUCUUUCUCUCUCUCUCUCUCUCUCUCUCUCUCACACACACACACACACACACACACACACACACACACACACACACAAACACACAUACACACACACUUUCCACCUCUGUCCUGGGAGUACUCUUAAAGUGUUCCAACUUUAGAACACUGCUCUCUUAAUGUUUUAUUUAUGCAUAUUAUCCAGAACACGGCAGAAUGAACCUUGUGUUUCCUGUGAUUACAGCAUGCAAGUAUCCAGGUUAAAGUUGCUGCUGUAGAGUGGCAGGUAGGGGGCGCUAUAGCCUUGGUCGUUGGAUUGCUGCCGCUUCAGGGGACAGUUUGAGCGAUGUGGGGCUCGUUGGGCCUUGGGGACGCGAGUCCUUCCUCUGGCCUUAUCGCUUGUCCCCAGCAGUGCUCUGAACUAGUCUGAAAGGGUCCAUCUUUCCCAUACCUCUCCAUCACACAGCCAGAACGCACUCCGGCUAAACACCGGCGAGGCCGUGAUGCUCCGUGCCGAAUGCCGACCACGGUGUGUCUCUGCGUACGAGUGGCGGGACUCCAUGCCUCCAGGGGGUGAUAAAAGACGACGGACAGUCAACCUGCCUGAGGUGUGUCCUGUCUUGGAUUUAAGGUUACUGAAGGAGUCUGGAUUCAACACUUAUUAGGCUGAGGAAGCAGCUGCCAGCACGACAAGCAUCUGUGUUCAGCGGCCAGGGCCAUGGCCCAGGAGUGGCGUGGCACUGGAAAGAGCGAGCAGUAUUACUGUGAGGAAGACCUGCAUGAAAACAUGGAAAGAUAAGCGCAGCGCCGGACCGAUAAGCUCCUAGCGAGGUCAUGGUGUGAGUCCAGUCAUCGAGCACGGGACCUUUUUGCCUCUUUCCACGUUCUGAAUGGGUAGAGGUGCAGGAGAGGGGAAUGAACCCCAUCCGGGCUUCAGGAUUAACAGCUUAAUUUUCUCCAGGUCCUCGAGCAUCUGAGCCCUCCGGUGUGCCUGUACGUCUCGGGCCUCCUCAUUGGUUGGGACUUCCAUGUGACCAUUUGGAGCACUGUGCAGAUCCCUUGCACAUCCUAUGAUGUAAUCCUUUGAGGGUUUUGGCUCAGGGUCUACUGAAAUCCAGCGCCGUUCUGACGAGAACAACCGAGUGUCCGAUCGCGAGCGAACUCUCGAUGAAGCUUUGAUCUGUUUCGGGAACGCUUGCUGUUUCUCACCAAUCAGACAUGUCAUGGCCCAGAAACCAAUUAUUCCUCAUAAAUCAAUUUGACUUAGCUUUUAUACCUGAAUUUUCUCUACCGAAACUAGUGGCAGAUGUGUGCAGCCGACAUUAUAGGCAGCACUAGAUUGCCUAUUUUUCUAAAGGGCCUAUUUUCUUCUGUGUGAGCUCGCUGCGAAUCGUAAUUAAAGGGAGAGAUUGGAGAGGCCCCGGCGUUCUGAGGCUGGCCUGUGACUCUGCGAUGCCACAGUGUCUCCGUUUGUCAGGUCCAGCUCUUUGCUCUCCCAGGUAAGCGUGGCUGAAAAAUGGAGCCUGUCACUUGUCCUAGUUAUUGGACAGUGGGAUUAUAACGGCCGGCAUUCUCGCUGCUGGCCGAUUGGUGGACGGGGUCACAUGAUCUCCCAGCAAUGAGGCGGCACCCGGCAAGGCGACCUCUUCAGAGGGAAUC